rnacentral:rRNA from 1 species
ACGACUCUCGGCAACGGAUAUCUUGGCUCACGCAUCGAUGAAGAACGUAGCAAAAUGCGGUAGUUGGUGUGAAUUGCAGAAUCCCGUGAACCAUCGAGUUUUUGAACGCAAGUUGCGCCCGAAGCCAUUCGGUCGAGGGCACGUCUGCCUGGGCGUCACG